GCUUAAGGCCAUACCACUUUGAAAACGCUCCAUCUCGUCUGAUCUCGAAAGCUAAGUGGAGUCGGUCCUGGUUAGUACUUGGAUGGGAGANNGCCUGGGAUUACCAGGUGCUGUAAGCCU
rnacentral:rRNA from 1 species